AAAUUGUAGAGUUUGAUCCUAGCUCAGGAUGAACGCUGGCGGCGUGGAUAGGGCAUGCAAGUCAAGGGGCCCGCAAGGGAACCGGCAGACGACAUAGUAGAAAAUAGGUAACGACCCCGAAAGUCAGGAAUAGCUCGUCGAAAGACGGGGUAAUACUUGAUGGUCUGCAAGAUCGAGAGAUCCUGCAGUAAAGAUUUAUCGCUUUCGGAUCGGCCUGUUCGGUAUCAGCUAGUUGGUAGGGUAACGGCCUACCAAGGCAAUGACGCCUAGGGGAGGUGAGAGCCUGACCCCCAUGGAUGGGACUGAGACACGGCCCAUACACCUACGGGUGGCUGCAGUCGAGAAUAUUUGACAAUGGACGAAAGUCUGAUCAAGCGACGCCGCGUGGAGGAUGAAGUCCUUCGGGAUGUAAACUCCUUUUGCAGACGACUAAGUUUUGAAGAGUCUGAGAAUAAGAGGUUUCUAAACUCGUGCCAGCAGAAGCGGUAAUACGAGUGCCUCAAGCGUUAUCCGGAAUUAUUGGGCGUAAAGGGUAUGUAGGCGGCUGCGUUAGUCUUCCAUUAAAACUCCGGGCGUAACCCGGAAUCUGUGGGAGAAACGGCGCGGCUUUGAGUAUGCGAGGGGUCCGUGGAACUCUAGGUGUAGCAGUGAAAUGCGUUGAUAUCUAGGGGAACACCAAAAGCGAAGGCAGCGGACUGGAGCAUCACUGACGCUGAAAUACGAAAGCGUGGGUAGCGAAUGGGAUUAGAUACCCCAGUAGUCCACGCCCUAAACGAUGUUCUCUCGGUUUUCGGAGUAUCGACCCUCUGAGAGCCUAAGCUAACGCGUUAAGAGAACCGCCUGGGUAGUACGACCGCAAGGUUAAAACUCAAAGGAAUAGACGGGGACUCGCACAAGCAGAGGAUCAUGUGGUUUAAUUCGAUGGUAAACGAAGAACCUCACCAGGGUUUAAUCUAGCUGAAGACAGGUGGAAACAUCUGUCGUCUCACAAGGACAGCUAUUCAGGUGUUGCAUGGCCGUCGUCAGUUCGUGGUUUGAAUUGUUCCCUUCAGUGGGGUAACGAACGCAACCCUCGUUGCCUGUUAUAUAUGUCAGGCGAGACUGCCCAGCCUUUUGCUCACAAGAUAUUGCGAGCAGGAGGCUGGGAGGAAGGCGAGGAUGACGCCAGGUCAGCAUGACCCUUAUACCCUGGGCUACACACGUGAUACAAUGGCGCGUACAACGCGAUGCGACGGCGCAAGCCUGAGCCAAUCGUCAGAAAGCGCGCCUAAGUUCGGAUUGCAGUCUGCAACUCGACUGCAUGAAGCUGGAUUUGCUAGUAAUCACAGGUCAGCCAUACUGUGGUGAAUACGUUCUCGAGUCUUGUACUCACCGCCCGUCAACUCAAGGGAGC
rnacentral:rRNA from 1 species